rnacentral:rRNA from 1 species
GAAAACUCAGGUGGUCAGAGAUGGACAUGCGUUGUAUUAGCUAGUUGGUGAGGUAACGGCUCACCAAGGCGACGAUACAUAGGGGGACUGAGAGGUCAACCCCCCACAUUGGUACUGAGACACGGACCAAACUCCUACGGGAGGCAGCAGUGAGGAAUAUUGGUCAAUGGACGCAAGUCUGAACCAGCCAUGCCGCGUGCAGGAAGACGGCUCUAUGAGUUGUAAACUGCUUUUGUACGAGGGUAAAUCCCGAUACGAGUAUCGGGUUGAAAGUAUCGUACGAAUAAGGAUCGGCUAACUCCGUGCCAGCAGCCGCGGUAAUACGGAGGAUUCAAGCGUUAUCCGGAUUUAUUGGGUUUAAAGGGUGCGUAGGCGGUUCGAUAAGUUAGAGGUGAAAUCCCGGGGCUCAACUCCGGCAUUGCCUCUGAUACUGUCGGGCUAGAGUUUAGUUGCGGUAGGCGGAAUGUAUGGUGUAGCGGUGAAAUGCAUAGAGAUCAUACAGAACACCGAUUGCGAAGGCAGCUUACCAAACUACGACUGACGUUGAGGCACGAAAGCGUGGGGAGCAAACAGGAUUAGAUACCCUGGUAGUCCACGCAGUAAACGAUGAUAACUGGUUGUCGGCGAUAUAAUGUCG